rnacentral:rRNA from 1 species
CCCUUAGACGUUCUGGGCCGCACGCGCGCUACACUGACCAGUGCAACAAGCAUCCGUCCUUGGCCGACAGGCCCGGGCAAUCUUUGAACGCUGGUCGUGAUGGGGAUAGACUUUUGCAAUUUUUGGUCUUCAACGAGGAAUUCCUAGUAAACGCAAGUCAUCAACUUGCAUUGAUUACGUCCCUGCCCUUUGUACACACCGCCCGUCGCUACUACCGAUUGAAUGAUUUAGUGAGGACUUCGGACUGGGACCGAUGCGGCUUUCGGGCUGCGUCGGUAUUCUGGAAAGAUGUCCAAACUGUAUCAUUUAGAGGAAGUAAAAGUCGUAACA